rnacentral:lncRNA from 1 species
GUUUUUAUUUACAAGAUAUAUGAAUGGGUAAUUUUUCAGCAUUGACAAUUGCAAAACCUUUUGUUUCAAUGUUUUCCUUCCUUCCCCUCAGCCCCUCCUCCAGAUGGCAGGUUGACCAAUACAUGUUAAAUAUGUUAAAGUAUAAGUUAAAUACAAUAUAUGUAUACAUGUCCAUACAGUUAUUUUGCUGCACAAGAAGAAUCGGACUUUGAAAUAGUGGACAAUUAGCCUGUGAAGGAAAUAAAAAAUGCAGGCGGACAAAAAUAGAAGGAUAGGGAAUUCUAGGUAGUGGUUCACACUCAUUUCCCAGAAUUCUUUCGCUGGGUGUAGCUGGUUCUAUUCAUUACUGCACUAUUGGAACUGAUUUGGUUCAUCUCAUUGUUGAAGAGGGCCACGUCCAUCAGAAUUGAUCAUCAUAUAAUAUUGUUGUUGAAGUAUAUAAUGAUCUCUUGGUCCUGCUCAUUUCACUCAUCAUCAAUUCAUGUCCUCUGGAGCUGUUGUCAAGGAAACUGAUGGAGAAGAAAAAGUGAAGUGAAGCAGAGCUGAGACUUUUCUGAAAGUAUGCUGAGAGAGGCAAUCGCCAAUGAGUAGAGGAAACUCAGGGUGGAAGUUUCUCCAGGAUAAGACUUGCUAAAGAAGUCAGAUAAUAUGCUGCACAAGAUAAAAAUCAGAUCAAAAAAGAAAAAAGGAGAAAGAAAACAAAAUGCCAGCAAGCAACAACAAUAACAACAAAAGUGAAAAUGUUAUGUUGUGGUCCAUACUCAGUUCCCACAGUCCUCCUUUUGGGUGCAGAUGGCUCUCUUCAUCACAAGACCAUUGGAACUGACCCGAAUUAUCUCAUUGUUGAAAAAAGCCACGUCCAUCAGAAUUGAUCCUCAUAUAAUCUUGCUGUUGCUGUGUAUAAUGAUGUCCUAGUUCUUCACUUAGCACCAGUUUAUAGAAAUCUCUCCAGACUUCUCUGAAAUCAUCCUGCUGAUCAUUUCUUAUAGAACAAUAAUAUUCCAUAACAUUCAUGUACUAUAACCUGUUUGUCCAUUCUCCAACUGAUGGGCAUCCACUCAGUUUCUAGUUUCUUGCCAUUAUAAAAAGGGCUGCUACAAACAUUUUGCACAGCAUUUUGUCCAUUUCCCACCUUUAUGAUCUCUUUGGGACAUAGACUUAGCAGAGCCACCACUGGAUCAAAAGAUAUGCAUAACUUGAUAGCCCUUUGGGAAUAGUUCCAAAUUGCUCUCUAGAAUGGUUGAAUCAGUUCACAACUCCACCAACAAUAUAUUAGUGUCCCAGUUUUCC